rnacentral:rRNA from 1 species
GAACGAACGCUGGCGGCAGGCCUAAGUCAUGCAAGUUGAACGGCUGUAGCAAUACAGCAGUAGCGGACGGGUGAGUAAUGUAUGGGAACGUAUCUUCUAGUGGGGAAUAUUCUUUGGAAACGAAGAGCAAUACCGCAUGAGUCCUACGGGAGAAAGUCGCAAGACGCUAGAUGAGCGGCCCAUAUUGGAUUAGCUAGUUGGUUAGGUAAUGGCUGACCAAGGCAACGAUCCAUAGCUGGUCUAAGAGGACGAUCAGCCACAUUGGGACUGAGACACGGCCCAGACUCCUACGGGAGGCAGCAGUCAGGAAUAUUGGACAAUGGGGGCAACCCUGAUCCAAGCCAUGCCGCGUGAGUGUUAAGGUCUUCGGAUUGUAAAGCUCUUUUGUGUGGGAAAAUGAUGAUGGUACCACAAGAAUAAGCACCGGCUAACUUCGUGCCAGCAGCGGC